AUUGAACGCUGGCGGCAGGCCUAACACAUGCAAGUCGAACGAGUGGCGGACGGGUGCGUAAUGUCUGGGAAACUGCCUGAUGGAGGGAGAUGACUUCUGGAAACGGUGGCUAAUAGCGCAUAACGUCAUAUGGGCCCAGAUGGGAUUAGCUUGUUGGUGGGGUAAAGGCUCACCAAGGCGACGAUCCCUAGCUGGUCUGAGAGGAUGACCAGCCACACUGGAACUGAGACACGGUCCAGACUCCUACGGGAGGCAGCAGUGGGGAAUAUGGCACAAUGGGCGCAAGCCUGAUGCAGCCAUGCCGCGUGUAUGAAGAAGGCCUUCGGGUUGUAAAGUACUUUCAGCGGGGAGGCGUUACCCGCAGAAGAAGCACCGGCUAACUCCGUGCCAGCAGCCGCGGUAAUUC
rnacentral:rRNA from 1 species